GGGCCUGUAGCUCAGUUUGGCUAGAGCACAUCGCUGGCAGCGAUGGGGUCAGGGGUUCAAACCCCCUCAGGUCCA
rnacentral:tRNA from 1 species